AAGACCUUGCACUUUUGGAGCGGCCGAUGUCUGAUUAGCUAGUUGGUGGGGUAAAGGCCUACCAAAGCUUCGAUCAGUAGCUGGUCUGAGAGGACGGCCAGCCACACUGGGACUGAGACACGGCCCAGACUCCUACGGGAGGCAGCAGUGGGGAAUUUUGGACAAUGGGCGCAAGCCUGAUCCAGCCAUGCCGCGUGAGUGAAGAAGGCCUUCGGGUUGUAAAGCUCUUUCAGCCGGGAAGAAAAGGCUGCGACUAAUAAUCGCAGUUCAUGACAGUACCGGAAGAAGAAGCACCGGCUAACUACGUGCCAGCAGCCGCGGUAAUACGUAGGGUGCGAGCGUUAAUCGGAAUUACUGGGCGUAAAGGGUGCGCAGGCGGUUUUGUAAGUCAGAUGUGAAAUCCCCGGGCUUAACCUGGGAACU
rnacentral:rRNA from 1 species